GGUGGUGUUAGUGCUUGAUAAUCUAAAUACGGGAAGUGGGGAAGAAACUUCAAAAGCUCAAAUUGGUAUUUCUUCUUUGGUAGAAGGAGUGUUACACGAAUGAAUUUUCUUGACCGUAAAGCAUAAAGGAGUCAGAGAAGGAAGCCAUCUCCCCCACCCACACAUCCUCUGAGGACUGAACAUACCUCCUGACUUGAGUUGUCUUUAACUUUGUUCAGCUGCAAGUCUAGGGGGUAACGUGGACUACAGCUAAGGUAGGAGACGGGGCAACCACAAACGGUCCAGCUUGCAAGCACUCGAGGUGCUUUGCAGG